GACGAACACUGGCGGCGUGCCUAAUACAUGCAAGUCGAACGCAGUGGGGACGGGUGAGUAACACGUGGGUAACCUCCCAUCAGAGGGGAUAACACUUGGAAACAGGUGCUAAACCGAUACUGAUGGAUGGACCCGCGGUGCAUUAGCUAGUUGGUGAGGUAACGGCUCACAAAGGCCACGAUGCAUAGCGGACCGCAGAGGGUGAUCGGCCACACGGGAAGUGAGACACGGCCCAGAUUCCUACGGGAGGCAGAAGUGGGGAAUCUUCGGCAAUGGACGAAAGUCUGACCGAGCAACGCCGCGUGAGUGAAGAAGGUUUUCGGAUCGUAAAACUCUGUUGUUAGAGAAGCGGUAUCUAACCAGAAAGCACCGGCUAACUACGUGCCAGCAGCCGCGGUAAUAC
rnacentral:rRNA from 1 species